AUGUUUAGAGCUGCAUGGUGUAAACCUUAUCAGGGGAUUACCGACCCCCUUAUCUCUGAAACCCUAGCAAUCCGGGAUGGUGUCAUAUUUGCCAAGCUUAGGGGCUAUGAGAAAGUCGUGAUAGAAUCCGACUGCCUAGAGGUCGUUAAUCUCUGGAACUCGCGUCAUGAUGACAGGACUAUUGUGGCGCCUAUCCUAGCCGAAAUUUUGGAGCACUCUACUAGUUUUAAGUCUUUCUGUAUUCAAUAUACUUCGAGAAUAGCCAACUACCCUGCUCACCUUUGUGCUAGACAUGCAAGCACAAUGGAUGUAACAGAAUGUUGGUUUGACUCUGCCCCUGGCAUCCUUGUAACUAGCCUCCUUGCAGAAUGGGCUUCGAUUGUUGAAUAA
rnacentral:rRNA from 1 species